rnacentral:rRNA from 1 species
GUAGGUGGCAAGCGUUGUCCGGAAUUAUUGGGCGUAAAGCGCGCGCAGGUGGUUCUUUAAGUCUGAUGUGAAAGCCCCCGGCUCAACCGGGGAGGGUCAUUGGAAACUGGGGAACUUGAGUGCAGGAGAGGAAAGUGGAAUUCCACGUGUAGCGGUGAAAUGCGUAGAUAUGUGGAGGAACACCAGUGGCGAAGGCGACUUUCUGGCCUGUAACUGACACUGAGGCGCGAAAGCGUGGGGAGCAAACAGGGAUUAGAUACCCUGGUAGUCCACGCCGUAAACGAUGAGUGCUAAGUGUUGGGGGGGGUUUCCGCCCCCGUCAGUGCUGCAGCUAACGCAUUAAGCACUCCGCCUGGGUAGUACGGUCGCAAGACUG